GACAGAGGGUGCGAACGUCGCUCGGAAUGACUGGGCGUAAAGCGCGUGUAGGCGGCCGUGCACGUCGGGUGUGAAACCCCGGGGCUCAACCCCGGGCGUGCAUUCGAUACGACACGGCUGGAGGCCUGUAGAGGAGAGCGGAAUUCCCGGUGUAGAGGUGAAAUUCGUAGAUAUCGGGAGGAACACCAGUGGCGAAGGCGGCUCUCUGGCCAGGUUCUGACGCUGAGACGCGAAAGCGUGGGUAGCAAACAGG
rnacentral:rRNA from 1 species